rnacentral:rRNA from 1 species
UAGGGAAUCUUCCGCAAUGGACGCAAGUCUGACGGAGUAACGCCGCGUGAGUGAAGAAGGAUUUCGGUUCGUAAAACUCUGUUGUUAGAGAAGAACAGCGCAUAGAGUAACUGUUAUGCGUGUGACGGUAUCUAACCAGAAAGCCACGGCUAACUACGUGCCAGCAGCCGCGGUAAUACGUAGGUGGCAAGCGUUGUCCGGAUUUAUUGGGCGUAAAGCGAGCGCAGGCGGUCAAUUAAGUCUGAUGUGAAAGCCCCCGGCUCAACCGGGGAGGGUCAUUGGAAACUGGUUGACUUGAGUGCAGAAGAGGAGAGUGGAAUUCCAUGUGUAACGGUGAAAUGCGUAGAUAUAUGGAGGAACACCAGUGGCGAAGGCGACUCUCUGGUCUGUAACUGACGCUGAGGCUCGAAAGCGUGGGUAGCAAACAGG